rnacentral:rRNA from 1 species
AUGGCCGUGAUAAAGGUGCGAGUGAGCAAACUCCGCAAGGCAAAGAGUGUUGAGGACAGCAGGCACAAGAGGGCCAAUGGCGAGGCACCAGUUGAGCCUCAGCAGAGGGAAGUUUGUGCAUUCUGCGACGAUGGUGGUGAUUUAAUCUGCUGUGAUGGUGGAUGUCUGAGAUCCUUCCACCCAACCAAAGGACAUGGUGAAAGAUCAAUGUGCACAACCCUUGGGCUAAAUGAAGCAAAGUGGCAAAAGCAUAAAGCACUAGCGGAAAAGGGGUUAUAUUUGUGCGAGAACUGCAAGCAUAAGCAGCAUCAAUGA